GAUGAACGCUAGCUACAGGCUUAACACAUGCAAGUCGAGGGGAAACGGCGUUGAGUGCUUGCACUCUUCGGACGUCGACCGGCGCACGGGUGAGUAACGCGUAUCCAACCUUCCCAUAACUAAGGGAUAACCUACCGAAAGGCAGACUAAUACCUUAUGUAAUUCUUAGAUGACAUCAGAAGAGAAUGAAAGAUUUAUCGGUUAUGGAUGGGGAUGCGUCUGAUUAGCUUGUUGGCGGGGUAACAGCCCACCAAGGCAACGAUCAGUAGGGGUUCUGAGAGGAAGGUCCCCCACAUUGGAACUGAGACACGGUCCAAACUCCUACGGGAGGCAGCAGUGAGGAAUAUUGGUCAAUGGACGCAAGUCUGAACCAGCCAAGUAGCGUGCAGGAUGACGGCCCUAUGGGUUGUAAACUGCUUUUAUGUGGGAAUAAAGUGGCGCACGUGUGCGCCAUUGCAUGUACCUCAUGAAUAAGGACCGGCUAAUUCCGUGCCAGCAGCCGCGGUAAUACGGAAGGUCCGGGCGUUAUCCGGAUUUAUUGGGUUUAAAGGGAGUGUAGGCGGUCUGUUAAGCGUGUUGUGAAAUUUAGGUGCUCAACAUUUAACUUGCAGCGCGAACUGUCAGACUUGAGUACACGCAGCGCAGGCGGAAUUCAUGGUGUAGCGGUGAAAUGCUUAGAUAUCAUGAGGAACUCCGAUCGCGAAGGCAGCCUGCGGGAGUGUUACUGACGCUUAAGCUCGAAGGUGCGGGUAUCGAACAGG
rnacentral:rRNA from 1 species